rnacentral:rRNA from 1 species
AUUGAACGCUGGCGGCAUGCUUUACACAUGCAAGUCGAACGGUAACAGGCCGCGAGGUGCUGACGAGUGGCGCACGGGUGAGUAAUGCAUCGGAACGUGCCCAGUCGUGGGGGAUAACUACUCGCAAGAGUAGCUAAUACCGCAUACGAUCUAUGGAUGAAAGCGGGGGACCGUAAGGCCUCGCGCGAUUGGAGCGGCCGAUGUCAGAUUAGGUAGUUGGUGGGGUAAAGGCUCACCAAGCCAACGAUCUGUAGCUGGUCUGAGAGGACAACCAGCCACACUGGGACUGAGACACGGCCCAGACUCCUACGGGAGGCAGCAGUGGGGUAUUUUGGACAAUGGGCGCAAGCCUGAUCCAGCAAUGCCGCGUGCAGGAAGAAGGCCUUCGGGUUGUAAACUGCUUUUGUACGGAACGAAACGGCUCUGGUUAAUACCCGGGGCUAAUGACGGUACCGUAAGAAUAAGCACCGGCUAACUACGUG